rnacentral:rRNA from 2 species
UCCUGCUCAGGAUGAACGCUGGCGGCGUGCCUAAUACAUGCAAGUCGAGCGAACUUUUGGGAGCUUGCUCCCAAAAGUUAGCGGCGGACGGGUGAGUAACACGUGGGCAACCUGCCUAUAAGACUGGGAUAACUUCGGGAAACCGGAGCUAAUACCGGAUAACAUAUGAGACCACAUGGUCUCAUAUUAAAAGAUGGCUUUUAGCUAUCACUUAUAGAUGGGCCCGCGGCGCAUUAGCUAGUUGGUGAGGUAAUGGCUCACCAAGGCGACGAUGCGUAGCCGACCUGAGAGGGUGAUCGGCCACACUGGGACUGAGACACGGCCCAGACUCCUACGGGAGGCAGCAGUAGGGAAUCUUCCGCAAUGGACGAAAGUCUGACGGAGCAACGCCGCGUGAGCGAAGAAGGUCUUCGGAUCGUAAAGCUCUGUUGUUAGGGAAGAACAAGUAUCGUUCGAAUAGGGCGGUACCUUGACGGUACCUAACCAGAAAGCCACGGCUAACUACGUGCCAGCAGCCGCGGUAAUACGUAGGUGGCAAGCGUUAUCCGGAAUUAUUGGGCGUAAAGCGCGCGCAGGCGGUCCUUUAAGUCUGAUGUGAAAGCCCACGGCUCAACCGUGGAGGGUCAUUGGAAACUGGGGGACUUGAGUGCAGAAGAGGAGAGCGGAAUUCCACGUGUAGCGGUGAAAUGCGUAGAGAUGUGGAGGAACACCAGUGGCGAAGGCGGCUCUCUGGUCUGUAACUGACGCUGAGGCGCGAAAGCGUGGGGAGCGAACAGGAUUAGAUACCCUGGUAGUCCACGCCGUAAACGAUGAGUGCUAAGUGUUAGAGGGUUUCCGCCCUUUAGUGCUGCAGCAAACGCAUAAGCACUCCGCAUGG